GGACGACACAGUCCAGCGAGUCGGUGUGGAAAACUCUCCAGACCCCAAAGGCGUAGGACGCGGCGGACAGCCAGUCAGACACCGAGAGGUACACCAGAAGCCUCCUCGGAGUUGUCCUUAAGUCUUUGAAUAUAAUGGCCUCUUAUUGCGAAGAAUUUCUGCGGCAGUAUACUUGCUGAUUGCUUCGUUCUCACUCCUCACAACAACCAGCUAAGACACUGCCAGAGAAACACCCACAGGAGCCAUGUCCAACCGUCCGUCCAUCCCCUCCGCCUGCCUCCCCCCCCCCCCCCCAGCAGGAUCCUUACUGCUCUCUGCCAUGGACCUCCACCUGAGGAACAACAAGUCAAGGCAUGUUCCAACACGCCACCAACAGCCAGGCCGGGUGCAUGAGCUUGCUCCUAGAGGGGGAGGAGCAGAGAAUCAGAGAGGGGGGAAACCCAGAAAAAAAGCCCAGCAUGACUCAGCCCGCUUCAAUCGGUUAGCAUACAUACACUGCUUUCACUCACUUUGGACACUUUAACACAUGAAGGACUUAUUGUUUGAAAACACAUUAAGAUAGAUUUUCUGUGUGACAUUUUCAUGCACAUUACUUUGCGACAGCUCGCUUAAUAAGAUGAUACGAGGGACAACUGAAUGUAGAAGCAUUCUUAAGUUGGAGUGACCUGUCAGAUUAUCUUUAUUCUGUCAUCGAUCAUAAAGAAUUUGCCUACAGGCUGUAACGUCUUUUUCUAACGAACCUCUGCCCACAAUGUCGUCUGUAUUUACCGGCUAAAGCUAAAACCUCAGUCAUCACUGGUUGAAUGGAUUCAAGUGAAAGUCAACCACAGUGUUGCCGUUCAUUCAUGCUCUUAUUAGCAAUAAGUUGUUUCAUCCUAAAAAAGAAAAUAAUUAAUAGCUUAUAGAAUCUGUGACUCUGCAUCAUCUCAACAUGCUAAUGAAAGCCGCUGAUUCAUCGAAACAGCUUACACGGUAACGCAUAGUAGGUCACAUCAAUUACAGAUGAGGCCCAUCAUACACGCUCAGAGAGACAAGUAAUACUUGUGAAAUAUUAAUUUUUUCCUAGAUCUGUGGUUUUAAUAAUGUGAAAUCUGAAUUUAAAAUAAUUUCCUAAAUGCG